ensembl:lncRNA
CUUUUGUUCCGGCGUGCGAGGAGAUGGGCCGACCGGGGAGCUCAGGCGUGUGUGUGUAAAUCAGGAGGCGUUUGGCUUGGAGCCAUUUUUUUUUUUUCUUCUUCUUCUUCUUCUUCUUCUUCUUAAUUGUGGAGACAGGAAAAAUCCCUUCCAACGGUUUUCCCAGGGAGACUGGCUUCGUCGGCCCGGCCUCCCCGCGGUCCCUAGUCUAUCUGCCGGCCUCGGGGUCCCGGGCGGGUCUCCUUUCCCUCUUUCUCCUCCCUGCCCUCCCCACCUUGAGUCAAGCCCCGCCAGCCAGCGGGUAAGCGGGGUGUCUGUCUGCAAAGCGGCCCGGUCACCUGUCGUGGCAGCUGCAUGGAAAUCCCGGCGCUCCUGCUGUCUGGAGCCUGUGCGGUUUCCUCUGGCAAAUCACGGAGAUUCCGCUCCCAGCGCCAACCCUUCCUCUGCGCCCCUGCGCCCUCCUAACCCAGCUCCUGGUGCUGACGCGAAGUUUCAUCGUUUGGGGGCAAUUAGCAAGGAGGUCCCCACUACUUUCUGUGGAGGCACCGCUUGGUUGGGAAGGUGAGGGCCAUCUAGCUUUGUGACUUGAAUUGGAGGUGGAGGGGUUGACAGUUGUCAGUGGGGUUGAUGUCACUUAGGGGCCUCUUCUUUCUGCCUGCCAACCUGCCCAGGUCGGAUUCAGGAAGGUUUUGAAUGGCUCUUGUGACCAUGGAUAAGGUAGGUGGCAAUCAGUGACUUCAUGCCUUAAACCACCUUCAUAACAUCCAUUUUUCUCUUGUUUUCUGUGGAGGGAAAGGGUGAAGACUGUGGGAGCAGCCCGAUGGUGCAUGUGUUGGUAAAGUGUAGUUAAACAUUGAGUAAAACCUCUGGGUGAAAUGCUGUGAUGUAGUUACUGCAUUCUUCCUGGUUAGGGCCUUUGGAGUCUUGUCAGUCUCUCAAAGGUCAUUUGCCCGUACUGAGACUGUUGAAACUGCAUGGAAUUUGAGAUAACAAUGUCAGAUUUCUUUUAGUUGGGCUGGGGUAAUGUUAAUUUAGUUACUACAUUUUAACAUAAUUAAAGUAUUUUGUGAUAAAGUAUAUAAUAAAAGCAGGGAUACUUUUUACUGUCUGUUUUGAACAAUUCAGUGUCAUUAAGUUCAUUUAUUGUUAAAAAACAAUUACCACUAAGGUUUCCAGUCUGGAAGCCCAUUAAUCAAGAACUUUGUGUUUUUUCCCAUUUCCUAGCUUCUGGAAUACCCCUUUGCCUCUAUGGAACUGACCACAAUUAAAACCACACAGUAAUUUUCCUUUUCUGACUUGUUUGUUUCACUUAGCAUAUUGUCCUCAAGGCUUAUCCAUGGGUUAGCAUGUCAGCAUUUCCCUUAUUUUACAUAUCUAUAUAGCAAAGAAUGACGAGAAUGAAAGGAUACAUGGAUAAACUAGAAACAUAUGAGUAACACAUAUGAAGCACCUCAAUAUGUGUUGAGUUCUAAAAACUCAGCCAAGCAAAGCUGAACACAUUUAGAAAAAGGAUCUAAGGACAUUGGAAAAUUUUUCUUUAAAUGUUAAUUUUAUUAUUAUUAUUACUUGUAGUGCUACUGGACAUUGAACCCAGGAUCUUGAGCAUGCUAUAAGUUAUUUUUUAUCAUGGAACAUCUUAACCACUAAAAAAAGGUAGACACUAAUAUACUCUGCAGCAUUUUCUCUCUCAUCCAGCCUUAGCAAUUAUACAACAUCCUCAGUCUUAUUUUAGGGUUAUUUCUUCCUGUCAUUGGAUGGUUUAAAAGCAAAUCAACUGCCUUAUAAUUUUGUCUAUAUCUUAGUAUACUCUAAAAAAGGCUCCACAAUAAAUCCGAUUAUUUUAAAAAAUAAUUUCUGGGUUAUCAAAAAUACCUUAGUGAGUAAAGGGGCUUGCUGCUAAGCUUGAGUUUAUUCAGGAGGGGAGAAUUGACCCCCCCCAAGACGCCCUCUGACUACCACAUGUGCUCUGCCACCCCCUUCCCAUAUUUCUGACUAGGAAUGUGACUCAACACUGAGAGUAUUUGCCUAGAGUGUGAGAAGCUCUAGAUUUGAUCUGUGAUGUUUCAAAAAGAAUACAUAUAUACAUGGACACAGACACAUAAUAUAUCAGGUAUCCAUUUAUUGCUCCCUGAUUAUCAUAUGUGUGUGUCAUGACCUAUGGUCUAAAGAUAGGAACAGAUUUAAUUAUGAAAUCAUCUACAUAUAGUUGUUUUAAUUGAGACCCAAAUAAGGUCUAUACAUUACAGUUUAAUAAUUUGUUUAGCAUUCUCCUCCCCUCCUGAUUUGCUUUCCCCUCCCCACUCGCUCUCUCUUUUUGAGGUAGGGUCUCCUUGGAUGUCCUGGACAUUGUUAUGUAGACCAGGCUGGCUUUGGACUUGUGGUAAUCAUCCAGCCUCCCCAGUGCUAGAAUUACAGUGAUUCCAUGAGAAGAAUGGGAUCCAACCCUACAUGGAUACUGAGGGAUGGAUGGACAUAUGUAUAGUCUGAGCACAGGACUGAGAUGCCAUCUUCUGCUGUUAUGUUGGCAAUUUAAACCCCAGUUAAAGCAAGUGAAUUCAGUAAAAUUUAAAAUCAACUACAGUAUGGUAUUACUGUGACUUCUGUUCCUUCUUUUUGUGAUUUUAACAUUUGACAUUUGAACAUCUGCCAGUGUGGGGGGAUUACAGUUAAAGAGAUUGCAUGAAUCUCAGACCAGACUUUGAACAGACUUUUAAAUAAGUUUGAGACUUACUGAGAUAGACUGUGGGGACUUUUGAAGUUGGACUGAAUGUAGUUUUGCAUUAUGAUAUGGCUACAUACCUAUGGGGGCCAGGGUGGUGGUUUGAAAGAAAAUGGUCCCCGUAGGGAGUGACACUAUUAGGAGGUGUAGCUUUGUUGGAAUAGCUUUGUUGGUGUGACCUUGUUGGAGGAAGUGUGUUACUGUGGGGGCAGGCUCUGUGGUCUACUAUGCUCAAGCUGCACCCAGUGUGGAAGGCAGUUCACCCCCUGAUGCCUACAGAUCAAGAUGUAGAACUCUUAGCUCCUUCCGAAGCACCAUGUCUGCCUGUGUGCUGCCAUGUCCUGCCAUGAUAAAAAUGGACUAAACCUUGGAAACUGUAAGUCACCUCAAUUAAAUGUUUUUUCUUUAUAAGAGUUGCCAUGGCUAUGGAUGUCUCUUCACAGCAUUAGAAACCCCAGCUAAGGCAACUAGCAUCAGAUGACAAAUGUAAAAACUGCAAUUACUUUUGCACCAAAUUAAUGAAUUUCUGGG